AAACGCUGAAGGAAUGUUUUUAAAAAGU
rnacentral:sRNA from 1 species